UUUUAGGAUGGCUGAAGGUGUGAAUGGUUUAAUAUUGUGAAGGAAGGCUUGUCAAAAUUUUUAGUUAGAACAAGUUUAUUUUACCUCUGUUUGCUCUGGCUUUCGGUGGGGUUGAUAGGAAGGUUUAGGUGAAAAAGGGUUUUAACAAAGGUUAUAAAACAAAAUAAAUCAUGCAAUGCAAUGCAAGGUGGAAAAUAAUAUGAUAUGAUGAUGGUCUAACAAAAGAUAAAAGUUAACCUAAAUUAACUAGUCACAAGUUUAGAAUCAAAGGGGUGGUGCCAUGCUUCAUAUUUCUCUCUAAAAAGAGACAAAUGAAAAGACUCUAAACACUAAUAGCACAUAAAAAAUGGUCUAUUAGUUUUCCAAGAUCAAAUAACAAAGUGCUCCCUCAGUAUUAUUUCAUGCAUACAACAUGUGGUUGUAGAAUUUGUUAGAGCAAUGGUACAAUGUUACUUGAUGGUUUUGAUUUAAGAGCACAAUAUAGACCGUCAUCUUA
rnacentral:lncRNA from 1 species